rnacentral:SRP_RNA from 1 species
GGUUUGUCCUUUGGGAUGGUCAUUCGAGGAAUCAGGUCAGGUCCGGAAGGAAGCAACCUUAACUUGUGUGUUCCAUGUUCAGAGGGGUGCAAGCCUGA